AUGGCGAAGCUGUACGUGCAGGCGGUGCCCCCGCCGGAUCUGAACAAGAACACCGAGUGGUUCAUGUACCCGGGGGUCUGGACCACCUACAUCUUCAUCCUCUUCGUCUCCUGGCUCCUCAUCCUCUCCAUCUUCGGCUGCACCCCCGGCAUGGCCUGGACGCUCGUCAACCUCGGCCACUUCGCGAUUACAUACCACUUCUUCCACUGGAAGAAGGGAACUCCAUUUGCUGAUGACCAGGGGAUGUAUAAUAGAUUGACUUGGUGGGAGCAAAUGGACAACGGCAAGCAGCUUACUCGCAACAGAAAAUUUCUUGUUGUGGUUCCUGUAGUCCUGUACUUGAUCGCUUCGCACACCACAGACUAUCAACAUCCUAUGCUCUUUUUGAACACCAUUGCAGUCACAGUACUGGUUGUUGCGAAACUACCGAACAUGCACAAGGUCCGGAUUUUUGGAAUCAAUGCGGGUAACUAA
rnacentral:rRNA from 1 species